UACGAAGGGGGCUAGCGUUGCUCGGAAUCACUGGGCGUAAAGCGCACGUAGGCGGCUUUUUAAGUCAGGGGUGAAAUCCUGGAGCUCAACUCCAGAACUGCCUUUGAUACUGGGAAGCUUGAGUCCGGAAGAGGUGAGUGGAACUCCGAGUGUAGAGGUGAAAUUCGUAGAUAUUCGGAGGAACACCAGUGGCGAAGGCGGCUCACUGGUCCGGUACUGACGCUGAGGUGCGAAAGCGUGGGGAGCAAACAGG
rnacentral:rRNA from 1 species